UACAGAGGGUGCAAGCGUUAAUCGGAAUUACUGGGCGUAAAGCGUGCGUAGACGGUUAUGUAAGUCGGGUGUGAAAGCCCCGGGCUCAACCUGGGAAUUGCAUUCGAGACUGCAUAGCUAGGGUGCGGAAGAGGGAAGCGGAAUUUCCGGUGUAGCGGUGAAAUGCGUAGAUAUCGGAAGGAACACCAGUGGCGAAGGCGGCUCACUGGUCCAUUACUGACGCUGAGGUGCGAAAGCGUGGGGAGCAAGCAGG
rnacentral:rRNA from 1 species